CUGUACCAGAGAGUGAGAGACAGAACUGGACUCCUCACAGCAGUGAACUUCAGCACAGGAAAGGACAUGCCUGAAAGACACAACAUUUUCUCCUUCUCUGAGGGUCAAGAAGAACAUCCAAGAGGAACAUUAAAAGCUGAUGUUGUGAGAUUUUAAGACCAGUACACUAAGAAACUACUUUUAUUGUAAAAACAGUCAGCUGAUCGAAUGCACCUAUUUCCACAUCUACACUCCAUCCGCUGAUUAUUUCUAUUUGCCUCGCUUUAUGAUCUUCACAUCACAUGUGCCUUGUACCGCAGAGUUUGCAACGUCACAAAUAAAUGGGGCCAAUCUUCA